CUCCAUUUUGUUGAAAGAAUUUCUCUUUGAGUUUGAUGAGCUUUCUUUUCCUCCAUACCCAAUACAAGGAAGGACCACCAAUGAGUAUGAGUAAGAGACUUAAGCCGAUGCCUGCAUAGACAUUCAAAGAGCUAUAUGUUAGGCAUGUUCUAAUAAAAUGAUCUUUUUAGACCACUAUAAAUUUAUUGUUUGAGAACAUGCCUGUUGUACAUGUCUCACUUGCCUAAGCUUGUCAUUACCAUCCAAAUGAUACAU